rnacentral:lncRNA from 1 species
GGUCCCUGCGCCUCCAGCCUCCUCGCUCAACCCCCAUCUCUCAGUGCUUGUCUCUGUCUGACUCAGUUUCCCUCCCCAUUCCGAGCUCUGAGCUGUUCCUGCUGUGUGCCUGCUCCCGGGCCACCUGCUAGCCCCAGGGUCAUCACCUCUGGACUCCAAGGGACCCCAGGAGCGUCGGGAUUCGGAGAAGCGAGCUCUACCUGGACACACAUCCACCCCAGUCCUGCCCAUAAGUGUCUCUGCCCAGCUCGUGAGCUUCCUGAGGGCGGAGACCUCGUCCUCUCUGGGUGCCAGGGCUCCAUAACGUGCCUGGCCCCAGGGUGCCCGUUAAACUGACAUGAAAUGAAUGUCCCUGAGCUCGUACCCAUAGGACAGGACUCUAAAUAUCAUCGGAUCACAUCAUGAGAAAGCGAUGGCCUUUUCUACUCCGUGCCAGUCUUUCUCAUGACAUCAAGGAGAACAUCUUGGGCUGGCGCCAGGACGUCUUGACGCCUCCCCGCCCUCGCCCAUCCGCACCCAGAGCCAAGAACAGGCGGUCUAGGGCCCAGACCUAGCAGACCAGUGUACCAGCAAGAGUAAGAGCAUUGCUUCAUUUUAGAAUCACCUUCAAUUCUGAGCAAGCGGUGCUGGUUUCCCGCUUAUAACAGCAACGUAAAGUUUCUUUUAAAUGUGUUUUAAAUUUUAAAACAAUUUCAGACUUAGAGAAAAGUUGCAAAAGUCAUACAAAGAAUUCCUGGAUAUCCUUUAUCCAGAUU